CUGGGAAAGCUUUCGCGGUAUGGGAUGGGGUCGCGUCCUAUCAGCUUGACGGCGGGGUAACGGCCCACCGUGGCUUCGACGGGUAGCCGGCCUGAGAGGGCGACCGGCCACAUUGGGACUGAGAUACGGCCCAGACUCCUACGGGAGGCAGCAGUGGGGAAUAUUGCACAAUGGGCGCAAGCCUGAUGCAGCGACGCCGCGUGAGGGAUGGAGGCCUUCGGGUUGUAAACCUCUUUUAUCGGGGAGCAAGCGAGAGUGAGUUUACCCGUUGAAUAAGCACCGGCUAACUACGUGCCAGCAGCCGCGGUAAUACGUAGGGUGCAAGCGUUAUCCGGAAUUAUUGGGCGUAAAGGGCUCGUAGGCGGUUCGUCGCGUCCGGUGUGAAAGUCCAUCGCUUAACGGUGGAUCCGCGCCGGGUACGGGCGGGCUUGAGUGCGGUAGGGGAGACUGGAAUUCCCGGUGUAACGGUGGAAUGUGUAGAUAU
rnacentral:rRNA from 1 species